rnacentral:rRNA from 1 species
UACAGAGGCCACGAGCGUUUAGGCGGAAUCACUGGGCUUAAAGCGUGUGUAGGUGGAUGACUAAGUACCUUGUGAAAUCCCACGGCUCAACCGUGGAACUGCUUGGUAUACUGGUUGUCUUGAGGCACUCAGGGGCGAGCGGAACAGAUGGUGGAGCGGUGAAAUGCGUAGAUAUCAUCUGGAACGCCAAUGGUGAAGACAGCUCGCUGGGGUGUAC